rnacentral:sRNA from 1 species
GUAUGGCCGCGUUAGGGAUGGAAGCGGAAAUCGUUUUAGCGGCGCAGCGCAGCGAAGCCGUAAAACAUUGCAACGUACAGCCCGGCCACAG